rnacentral:tRNA from 1 species
AGGGUCAUAGCUCAGUGGAAGAGCGGCUGAGUUCCCGCGAGGCUCGUACGGCCUCAAUGCGGUGCCCAGCAGCGCGUGUGGUUCAAAUCCCCACUGACCCUGCCA